AACGCGAAGAACCUUACCAGGUCUUGACAUCCCGCUGACCGGCAUGGAGACAUGUCUUUCCCUUCGGGGACAGCGGUGACAGGUGGUGCAUGGUUGUCGUCAGCUCGUGUCGUGAGAUGUUGGGUUAAGUCCCGCAACGAGCGCAACCCUUGAUCUUAGUUGCCAGCAUUCAGUUGGGCACUCUAAGGUGACUGCCGGUGACAAACCGGAGGAAGGUGGGGAUGACGUCAAAUCAUCAUGCCCCUUAUGACCUGGGCUACACACGUGCUACAAUGGACGGUACAAAGGGCUGCAAACCCGCGAGGGGGAGCCAAUCCCAUAAAACCGUUCCCAGUUCGGAUUGCAGGCUGCAACUCGCCUGCAUGAAGCCGGAAUCGCUAGUAAUCGUGGAUCAGCAUGCCACGGUGAAUACGUUCCCGGGCCUUGUA
rnacentral:rRNA from 1 species